CAUAGCGACUAUCGUGGCAUAUCAAUAAGCGGAGGAAAAGAAACUAACAAGGAUUCCCUUAGUAACGGCGAGUGAAGCGGGAAGAGCUCAAAUUUGAAAUCUUCAAGGUUCUACCUUGACGAAUUGUAGUUUAUAGAAGUGUUUUCUGUUAGUGGAGUGGCAAAAGUUCUUUGGAAUAGGACAUCAUAGAGGGUGAGAAUCCCGUAUUUGGUCAUUCCUCCUAGCGUUGUGAUACACUUUCAAAGAGUCGGAUUGUUUGGGAAUGCAGUCCAAAAUGGGUGGUAAAUUUCAUCUAAAGCUAAAUAUUGGCGAGAGACCGAUAGCGAACAAGUACCGUGAGGGAAAGAUGAAAAGAACUUUGAAAAGAGAGUUAAACAGUACGUGAAAUUGUCAAAAGGGAAGCGUUUGACACCAGUGUUGUUUUUCUCGAAAAUCAAUUUAAGAAUGGCCUUAUGCUAGUGAGCUAUGACUUUAUCAGGCUUGUUUCUUAGUUUUCUUGUAACUUUUUAAUGCACUUUUCGGUUAACAAGUCAACAUCAAUUUCUUUUGUUGUAAAAGGGUAUGAGGAAGGUGGCUUACUCUUCGGCGUAAAGUGUUUAUAGCCUUUUACCUCUGCAAUCGGAGAGAUUGAGGUCUGCAGCGUAGAUCCUUCGGGGUUAGAUACAUUUGUGCUAAGCUAUAGUUCUUUAUAGACAACUUGUUGACUAUAAUCAAUCCUGUAACUUACUCGCUUAUGCUAUUUUACCUACGCUUAGGAUGUUGAUAGUCACAGCGUGUAC
rnacentral:rRNA from 1 species